rnacentral:misc_RNA from 1 species
UUUUUUUUUUUUUUAAUCUCAUUUCUGCUCAAAUAACGUUGCAAAUAGAGUAUUAGUAUUGUUUAAGUUUGCUCACAGGAAAAGUUGGGGCUUUUCUCUCUUUAAUACCAUUGCCAAUUGUGGGAGCUCUUCAUACUGUCCUCUUCCCCUACGUGGCUUCAGCUGGGCUUCAAUAUCUCCAGUUUUGCAACGUGAAUAGCUUUAGAUCAAAGUUCAUUCUAGGCUUUUCUCUCUUCAUGGGUCUUUCUGUGCCUCAAUACUUCAAGGAAUAUGUUUUUCUUUCUGGUCAUGGACCUGUUAACACUGGCUUCACCUGGUUCAAUGACAUAAUCCAAGUGAUUUUCUCAUCCCCACCAACAGUCGCCCUUAUAAUUGCUUUCUUUUUGGAUCGGACUCAUACUCCUAAGGCCCACUCGACCAGGAAAGACAGUGGCAUGGAUUUGAAAGAGCAAUAUGAUGA